UACGUGGGGUGCAAGCGUUAAUCGGAAUUACUGGGCGUAAAGCGUGCGCAGGCGGUGAUGUAAGACAGGUGUGAAAUCCCCGGGCUUAACCUGGGAACUGCAUUUGUGACUGCAUCGCUGGAGUGCGGCAGAGGGGGAUGGAAUUCCGCGUGUAGCAGUGAAAUGCGUAGAUAUGCGGAGGAACACCGAUGGCGAAGGCAAUCCCCUGGGCCUGCACUGACGCUCAGGCACGAAAGCGUGGGGAGCAAACAGG
rnacentral:rRNA from 1 species